rnacentral:rRNA from 1 species
AUGACAUUUGUGAGCAUUGAUGUUACAUUCCGUGUGUCAAAACCUUCUUAUGGUGAGAAAAAUGAUCUAAGCAUCAUGUCUGAAGGCCUUGACCAAUCUCGGGUUGGUGAAAUUGGUCAAGAGGGGGAUAGUAGUGGCACAUUAACUCAUGUGGCUCCUGUGACACAAGUAUCGACCUACACUAGUGAUGCGCAGGUUGGUGCAUCGGCUCAAGUUGGUAGCGUGCCUGGCAGUGUGCCGAGGUGGACAUCAGAGCAAGCGAAGCAGCUCAAGGUGUAUUCAUGGAAGAGUGGUAAUGUGUUACACAUCAGGGGGAGCAACUAG